UGCAACACUGUUUCAAGUUGAAAGGCUGCCUAAGCUUGAAGUAUCUCACAAAAACAGUGUUUCACUCAUUUCUGAAUCAGCUCGAGUUUCACCGUCAAGGUCAAACAACUUAUGCAGUCCAGCUAGUCUUUCAGGUAGUGAAGACUUUAUUGCUUUGUUGGCAAAAUAUAGACAACAUUCUAAAGGGAUUCGCCUGUCAGCACAAAAAAACAAAAUGCAAAGGCAAAGGCCAUCAACACAGCAGGGAAGACGGGAAAUCAAAAAUCAGUGUGUGAUAUGUAUGAGGCCAGCCAUCUCUUAUUAGCAUUAACAACCAGGCAAGGGAGAAUUCAUAUAAACAAAAGAGACUCUACAUCUACCUUUGACAAUUGUGGAAAAACCGAAAGAAAAGCAGCAAGAUCAGACUUCAACAAAAUAUCUUGUAAAACAGCCAAUCAAAACCACUGUCGACUAGCAGAGAGGGUAGAAAUGUCUGGGCUCAAGUUUAGAGACACAACACCUGCUGAUGGAAAUUGCCUUUUUCAUGCUGUUUCGGAUCAGCUGAAACGAGUUAAGUCAGAAAAGCCCUACUGUCACAGUGAGCUUCGAGCACUGGCAAUUUCUUGUCUCAGAGAUCACCAGUUUGUUGAUAUCAAAUGGCAAGAAACUAAACCUUUCACAAUAUGUCAGUAAGGGUUGGGAUCAGUAUUUAUCUGACAUGGAGAAGGAUGGCGAGUGGGGAGACCACCUUGUUGUGAUGGCAUUAACAACAGUGCUGUCUCAUAAUAU